rnacentral:lncRNA from 1 species
UUCCAUUAGCCAUCCAACAAGUAGCAACAAGCAGAGCAUGACCAUUUAUUUCAAUUCAAACAAUUUGGGAGCUUCAUUCACUUACAUAAACCUUGAGGAAAGCAUAUUUUUGCAUUCACAAAUUAAUAGUUACAUACGUUUUGGAAGAUUAAAGAAACAAACUACGUUAUUCUUGAGGGAUUCAAAGGUAAACUUUGGAAAACAGAGGAGUAAUAGAGCCAGCAGCAGGCACCACCAUAUAUAACUCAAAAAUGUCCUUGAGAUAAAGCACAACCAAUUCUGAACUCUCAAGAAAGAACUCAUUUGCUUAUUUUCAGGGAUAACCAGCAACAAAACCAAGCAAAAUAUCCGACGUGGGCAAUCAGUGCAAGAAGCUGGGAGUUAAUCACAAACCAUAACGAAAGACAGUACUUUAACCCAUAUUUAGACUGUAUUCAAAGCAACCAAAAGUUUACACACAUGAUUAAAUCUUCAUUCUACUAUGUACAGGGACUGAUAAUCUGGUUCAGGCCUUCAUAAAGAGCAAUAACACCAACAGGAAUGCACAUGUACAUUAGGAAGCUAAUCUCACUAUAUUAUGGACUUAGUGACAUGCUUACAGUAAAAUUCUCACAAUGAUCCAGAUUCAUACCAAACUUUUAAAUCAACCAAGAUAUUCAGUCAAACAUGGUAUGGUGUUCUUUCAACCAAGCUAACAAACAUCAGUGAGCUUCAUUAGGCCUAAGAGUGACGACGACAUAACAACAACAACAACAACAACAACAACAACAACUACUACUACCCAGUAUACUCCCCAGGUGGGGUCUGGGGAGGGUAAUAUGUAGACGAGUCUUACCCCUAAGAGUGACGACGACAUAUUUCCAUUUUUUUAGAUCCUAUAUAACUGCAUUAUUAAAGCUAAAAUACUCUAUAAGGUAAUCUCAAGUGAGGGAAAUAGUAACAUAGGCAAUGAUAUUCCUUGAACGAGAGGAUAGAAAGUUUAUGAGCACAGAUAUGGAAAGCCAACAAAAUUCAACCAAACUUAUAUACAAGGAGACUUCUACCAUAUUUCAUGGUUAGCUCAGCUUUACAUAACUGAACCUCAAACUUUAAUUUUAAAUCCAAAGAAUGGAAAUCAACCGACUCGAAGCAAGGUUUUAGCUACAGAAUAGACAUAACUCGACAGACUUUACCAAAUUUAAAUCCAAACAAUGGCAAUCAAAAGACUCGAACCAAGGUUUCAGCUAUAGAAUAGACAUAACUUGACAAACUUUACCAAAAAUCUCAACUAGUCACAAAUCGAUAAGAAACUACAUUCGACCUCACUGAUAAAGCUCAAAUGACAGCAAAAAUGGAGUACAAACUCAGAAAUUUCAUAGCUUAAGAACAACCAAAAAUAGAGUUACAUGGUGAAAAAAAAUCAAACCUGAAGUCGCAAACUUCUGUUAAUAAUCACAGCCUUAAUAAUAUGUCUUUCGCCUUCGAAUACUAGCGAGGUUGAGCAGCAACUCAACAGAACAACAACAGUAAACCCAAGCUUGAACUUCAAUUCAGUUUUUCAUCUCUUUGGAACUCUGAGAUGGACUCAAAUGAUAAAAAAAAUGUGUAUCCUUCUCUUAACCUUUGAAAGAAAUAUUCAGAAAAAGAAAUUGAAAUCAGAAAACCAGGAGUUUUUAGAAACCUUUCGUCUUUUCUCUCCAAUUUUUUUUUACCCGAUUCCCCCUCAAGAAAUUGGAUAAGGCUUGUUUUGAAGACGAAUCCUUGAUGAAUUUAGGGCUCGGAUCGAGUGAAAUCAACCAACGCCUCACACUCAUCCAGCAUAUCGUCGCCAAAACUUUCCAAUCGUGAGAUAAAACUCGAAUUCGGGUGAGUUAGAGGGGAUGGGAAUCAUGGCGUAAAACAAUGUUCGCAAUGGCAAUAUGAGAGAAGGAGGGACGCGUGGGCUAGGGAUUUGGGAUUCACGCGCCCGGAUUUGGACUGAAUUGGGGCUUGGUUCAAGUGAGGACGAUACUAGAACAGUGUUCGUUUGGGAUUUAGGGCUUGGGG